ACUCCUACGGGAGGCAGCAGUGGGGAAUAUUGCACAAUGGGGGAAACCCUGAUGCAGCCAUGCCGCGUGUGUGAAGAAGGCCUUCGGUUGUAAAGCACUUUCAGUAGGGAGGAAGGUAGUGUAGUUAACACCUGCAUUAUUUGACGUUACCUACAGAAGAAGCACCGGCUAACUCCGUGCCAGCAGCCGCGGUAAUACGGAGGGGUGCGAGCGUUAAUCGGAAUUACUGGGCGUAAAGCGCAUGCAGGCGGCCUGUUAAGUCAGAUGUGAAAGCCCGGGGGCUUAACCUCGGAAUUGCAUUUGAAACUGGCAGGCUAGAGUCUUGUAGAGGGGGUAGAAGUUUCAGGUGUAGCGGUGAAAUGCGUAGAGAUCUGAAGGAAUACCAGUGGCGAAGGCGGCCCCCUGGACCAAAGAACUGACGCUCAGAUGCGAAAGCGUGGGGA
rnacentral:rRNA from 1 species